rnacentral:rRNA from 1 species
UUGUAUAAUGGGUCAGCGACUUAUAUUCUGUAGCAAGGUUAACCGAAUAGGGGAGCCGGAGGGAAACCGAGUCUUAAUUGGGCGUUAAGUUGCAGGGUAUAGACCCGAAACCCGGUGAUCUAGCCAUGGGCAGGUUGAAGGUUGGGUAACACUAACUGGAGGACCGAACCGACUAAUGUUGAAAAAUUAGCGGAUGACCUGUGGCUGGGGGUGAAAGGCCAAUCAAACCGGGAGAUAGCUGGUUCUCCCCGAAAGCUAUUUAGGUAGCGCCUCGUGAAUUCAUCUCCGGGGGUAGAGCACUGUUUCGGCUAGGGGGCCAUCCCGGCUUACCAACCCGAUGCAAACUGCGAAUACCGGAGAAUGUUAUCACGGGAGACACACGGCGGGUGCUAACGUCCGUCGUGAAGAGGGAAACAACCCAGACCGCCAGCUAAGGUCCCAAAGUCAUGGUUAAGUGGGAAACGAUGUGGGAAGGCCCAGACAGCCAGGAUGUUGGCUUAGAAGCAGCCAUCAUUUAAAGAAAGCGUAAUAGCUCACUGGUCGAGUCGGCCUGCGCGGAAGAUGUAACGGGGCUAAACCAUGCACCGAAGCUGCGGCAGCGACGCUGAUGCGUUGUUGGGUAGGGGAGCGUUCUGUAAGCCUGCGAAGGUGGCCUGUGAGGGUUGCUGGAGGUAUCAGAAGUGCGAAUGCUGACAUAAGUAACGAUAAAGCGGGUGAAAAGCCCGCUCGCCGGAAGACCAAGGGUUCCUGUCCAACGUUAAUCGGGGCAGGGUGAGUCGACCCCUAAGGCGAGGCCGAAAGGCGUAGUCGAUGGGAAACGGGUUAAUAUUCCCGUACUUGGUGUUACUGCGAAGGGGGGACGGAGAAGGCUAUGUUGGCCGGGCGACGGUU